UCCCAGGUUUUGUAAAUGGCGUGCAUAUGUAUUAUGAAGGACAGUCUUUAAAAGCUAUAGUAACCAAUGUAGUAACCUGAAAACAAGUUUCACCUUGGAAAACCCAUUUAAAUUGGGGUUAAUAAGUCCCCUCCCCUGCAUGCUUACACCAUUUGUGCCAUGCAGAACAUGCAGUCAAGUCUAUGUUGAUUAUGAAUUGGCUUACUAUAUAUAUUUUCUAUUAUACUAUGAUCACUUCGGUUUCAUUUGUCUCUCAUUAAAAUGUGUGAAAAAGUCAGCUGCAAUGUUUUUAUUCCCAGAUGAAUAUACAUCACCUUGGUAAACAUAUGAUGGUAUUACAAACUAAUAUGACAAUAAUAUUUCCAUAUAUUAAGGAUUAAAUGUCCCUGCAAGCUUCACUAUAGGAGGUUUUUGGAAAGUUGCUCGGGCUAACCUUUGU